rnacentral:misc_RNA from 1 species
GAUGAAGAACGUAGUGAAAUGCGAUAAGUAAUGUGAAUUGCAGAAUUCAGUGAAUCAUCGAAUCUUUGAACGCACAUUGCGCCCCUUGGUAUUCCGGGGGGCAUGCCUGUUCGAGCGUCAUUUCAACCCUCAAGCUUCUGCUUGGUCUUGGGCCGUGCCGGCAACGGCUGGCCUUAAAACUAGUGGCGGUGCCAUCGAGCUCUACGCGUAGUAAUUCUAUCUCGCGUCUGGGCUUCGGUGGACGCUGGCCAGCAACCCCCAAUUUUCUAUGGUUGACCUCGGAUCAGGUAGGGAUACUCGCUGAACUUAAGCAUAUCAAUAAGCGGAGGA